UACGGAGGGUGCAAGCGUUAAUCGGAAUUACUGGGCGUAAAGGGUGCGUAGGUGGUCAGAUAAGUUAUCUGUAAAUCCCCGGGCUUAACCUGGGCAGGUCAGAUAAGACUGUUUGACUCGAGUAUGGGAGAGGGUAGUGGAAUUUCCGGUGUAGCGGUGAAAUGCGCAGAUAUCGGGAAGAACACCCGUGGCGAAGGCGGCUCACUGGCCCGGUACUGACGCUGAGGUGCGAAAGCGUGGGGAGCAAACAGG
rnacentral:rRNA from 1 species